rnacentral:rRNA from 1 species
GACGACCUCUGGCGGCGUGCUUAACACAUGCAAGUCGAACGGAAAGGCCCUGCUUUUGUGGGGUGCUCGAGUGGCGAACGGGUGAGUAACACGUGAGUAACCUGCCCUUGACUUUGGGAUAACUUCAGGAAACUGGGGCUAAUACCGGAUAGGAGCUCCUGCUGCAUGGUGGGGGUUGGAAAGUUUCGGCGGUUGGGGAUGGACUCGCGGCUUAUCAGCUUGUUGGUGGGGUAGUGGCUUACCAAGGCUUUGACGGGUAGCCGGCCUGAGAGGGUGACCGGCCACAUUGGGACUGAGAUACGGCCCAGACUCCUACGGGAGGCAGCAGUGGGGAAUAUUGCACAAUGGGCGGAAGCCUGAUGCAGCAACGCCGCGUGCGGGAUGACGGCCUACGGGUUGUAAACCGCUUUCGCCUGUGACGAAGCGUGAGUGACGGUAAUGGGUAAAGAAGCACCGGCUAACUACGUGCCAGCAGCCGCGGUGAUACGUAGGGUGCGAGCGUUGUCCGGAUUUAUUGGGCGUAAAGGGCUCGUAGGUGGUUGAUCGCGUCGGAAGUGUAAUCUUGGGGCUUAACCCUGAGCGUGCUUUCGAUACGGGUUGACUUGAGGAAGGUAGGGGAGAAUGGAAUUCCUGGUGGAGCGGUGGAAUGCGCAGAUAUCAGGAGGAACACCAGUGGCGAAGGCGGUUCUCUGGGCCUUUCCUGACGCUGAGGAGCGAAAGCGUGGGGAGCGAACAGGCUUAGAUACCCUGGUAGUCCACGCUGUAAACGGUGGGUACUAGGUGUGGGGUCCAUUCCACGGGUUCCGUGCCGUAGCUAACGCUUUAAGUACCCCGCCUGGGGAGUACGGCCGCAAGGCUAAAACUCAAAGGAAUUGACGGGGCCCCGCACAAGCGGCGGAGCAUGCGGAUUAAUUCGAUGCAACGCGUAGAACCUUACCUGGGUUUGACAUGGAUCGGGAGUGCUCAGAGAUGGGUGUGCCUCUUUUGGGGUCGGUUCACAGGUGGUGCAUGGCUGUCGUCAGCUCGUGUCGUGAGAUGUUGGGUUAAGUCCCGCAACGAGCGCAACCCUUGUUCACUGUUGCCAGCACGUUAUGGUGGGGACUCAGUGGAGACCGCCGGGGUCAACUCGGAGGAAGGUGGGGAUGACGUCAAGUCAUCAUGCCCCUUAUGUCCAGGGCUUCACGCAUGCUACAAUGGCUGGUACAGAGAGUGGCGAGCCUGUGAGGGUGAGCGAAUCUCGGAAAGCCGGUCUCAGUUCGGAUUGGGGUCUGCAACUCGACCUCAUGAAGUCGGAGUCGCUAGUAAUCGCAGAUCAGCAACGCUGCGGUGAAUACGUUCCCGGGGCU